GACACUUUUUCCAUAGCUCCAAGAUCCUUUCUCCAAACAUGGAUAUGUAAGUUCUGUCAGAAAACCCAAACCAGUGUGUGUGUUUAUAUUUUCUUCCCUUUUAUAGUUUUAAAGUUAAAAUGAUCUUGUUUUAGAUGAGUGUUUAUAGGUUGCUCAGCUUUGUAUUUUCCACUUGUUUUUGUAAUUUUAUAUAGUCAUUGUGUGAACUUAUUGUGUUGAGUAAUUCAUUCUUGAAGCCAAGAACGAGAUGCCUCUGUUUGGGUCUUUUCUUAAACAGGAACACUACUAUGAUCCUUUAGGGUAAUACUGGCUUCAUUGCAUGCAGGAUCAAGACAGUUCAACAUAACACCUGUGCUGGCUCCCGGUGUUAUUCCAAGACUGUUCUUCAGGAUGGUCCAAAAAACAGACAAGAAUCUCUGUUAACUUGUCAACAGCGAUUUGGUGAGGAGUGCAGGGAGGCGAUAUCUACAAUACGAUAUUUCACUGAUGAGAAGAUGAGCGACUUUCCAGUAUUGACCGAAGAUGGUCGGUGAGGAUGCAUCAUCUUCUGUCCUGGAUUUGUUCACUUGUUUCCUUGCUGUAUCUGGAUUGGUAAGAAAAUAUUUAGCUUUGGAAGUAGUUUUGAAAAGGAAAUGACCUUCUCUGUAGUUAUUAAAGGAGUUCACUGGUACAGUAGAGAAAGGAGUUGUUCAGUGAUCACCAUAACAACAACAGGCCGGUCCAAACUGAGAAAUUCAACGUUCUAAUCUUUUAUAUCCCAAAUGUAUGCAUAAAUAACACAGCAGAUCUUAAUUUUUAGUAUUUGACCUUUUAUCCAUUUAUGUCCGUUGUGUUUAAACCUGUAUGAACCUUGUUUAAAGAUCUACCACGAUUUCUCUAUGAUGUUUGGUGACAAAGUGUCUCAGAAGUUCCUGGCAAUGUGGUCAAUAUUCUUCAAGCCAAAAAUCAUUGCAGACUGCAAGACUCUUAAGAAUAUGGGCGAGCUGCUGUCAGGAACUGAACCUGAAUCUGAGGACUACAAUGCGACAUGUCCUCAAUCCUUUUGCAGCUGCAUCUGCUCCCACUAACCUCAAGAGGCCAGAAAAAAAUAUCCAAGAUCAGUUCUGCUCAAGCAACCAGCCAUCUUGUGAGCUGUCUUAAGGAAGGAGCCAGUGUGAAUACCUUCAUUGAGAGUGCUGACACAAGACAACCAUUUCUCCUCUGCAUCGGUGAGCGAAAGAAGGAUAUCCCAAAGUUCUACAUUAUUAUCGACCAAAAGGCGAUCCCAUGUAAGGCGCACACAUCAGUGGCAGCUUUUGAUGAACUGUUCAAAGUUCACUAUGUCUUCAGUUUCUCAUAUGAUAAAGCUCUUUGUGAUUUCUACACAUUUAUCCAAACCACUAUCUAUAACAUCGAUG